GCCUGGCUGCGCGUCCACCAUCUUGGCCAAGGUUCUCGUUACCCGGCAGCCCAAGUCGCUCAUCCUUGGUUCUGAGGUGGUGGACGCUGCCGCGUGUGUUGUCCGAGGAUGACAGGGGAGAACUAGGCUAUUAGCAAGCCACCUGUCCGGAGGCGAUCUGUACUGGCCGCCUCCAGAUGAUGCCAGGGCCACCAUCUUGGCAAAGGAAAAGACGCUCACCGCCGGAGGAAAGAAGGGAACCAAGACCUUUGCCAGCGUAGAACCUUCAGCUAGGAGAAUUUUUAUGAAGGGCACUGAGCAAGCCAGUUGCUAACAAAACCCCUUCUGUUAGCAACAUUUCUUCUGAUCCAGAAGAAAUGACUUUUCUUUUCCUUGGCAGUAGUCAACGGGAGGGAAGCCCUUGUCUUGGGUGCUCACGGUGGCCUCUAAGUGAGAAUUGACUCCAAGAAUGCUGCUUUGCCUACUUCCCAGGUUUCUUACCUUCCAAGUUCAAAUACUAGAAUCACAUGUCUUUACCCAAUGGGUCCCUAAACAACCAACAGCUUCAUGGAAAGAAAGUCAAGACCCAAACCUACAGUGUUACCUUACUAUGUUUCAAAAAUAGUGCAAUCUCAGAGGAGUGGCAACUCAUGAGUGCUGGAGCCAGGUGCACCUGCUUGGGGAGCUGAUUGCUAAGUUUUCAGGAAUUCUAGUUCUGUGAUGCUUCAGCUUAAAGACCAAAAUCACAAAAAAGAAGAGGGAAGUUGAGUGCAGCCUGGUCCUAAUCUCAAGAUUGAGGCAUCCCAUGUGACUCUAUGAAGAUUCUAAUCAUAGGCAUUCAAGAGGCUAAGCCCAACCCUAGGCAUUCAACAAGUUCUUCUGAUAUUAACCAUUCUUAAAAGCAUUAGGAUUUAAUCUAGCAGAGGAGUGCUUGAUCCUAUUACAGGCUUCUUCCUGCAGGAACAAGGUACUUAAAAUCACCUGGAGAGGAAAUUUCUGACAGUCUUCUCAAGAUGAAUGAAAUGUGUUUUCCUUCUUUCCCAUCUCUAUAAUUUGGGUGAAUAUUAAAAGAGAUGUUUAUAAAGGGGUAGGCCAGUUGUUACCUUCCUCCUAGUUGUGCAAUAUGACCUACACUGUCAGGUACCUGGCUGAGACAAAUGGGCUCAAAGACUAGGGGACCUGGCUCCUACAACCCAGUCUUGUGGGGAUCAUAUCCCUUACUCACGGCCCUCACAACUGCCUGCCGUUCGCUGUCCUUUAUAAGCACCUCACUGUUGGAAUCAGAACUGAUCUGAGCCAGAAAUCUCAAAUCUAUUUGGAGAUUGUGUCACAUUUACUGUUCAGUAGGGACACUCUCCCCCGCAGUGAGCCACACUUCUUACCAGGCACUUCUCCGAGACUGAGACUGUAGCAUCUGCCAUUUACUCCAUUAACUAGCAAGUCUUAUAAUGUUGGUUU